AUGAACUGACUACUAAACCUUCUCCGUCGACCGCUUUCUCUCUCUGAAUCCUCUCCCGCCCACUGCCUCUCUCUCUCUCAACGUUACAACCACCAGAUUCCGCCAUUAACAGCCACCAGAAUCCUCCUGUUCCUCUCAACCUCUCAUCUGAACUCAUCCUCUUCUUCCAUUGAAGGUUUCUAUUGAAGCUCGAACUCUUGGAGUCGUCAUCCACUCCCUGAUAGCCCAUCGUUCGCUACGCUCACUUCCUGUCGCCGCCGUUGGUGUUGGUCCACCCGAUCACUGAGGAUCAACCUGCUACAAAUGAGGAUAUAAUUCAAUGAGACCAGACCGCACUUCAAAUUUCAGUAUACGGUCAGUCUAUUGCAGGUCCAAGUUUUCGGUUCUUAGUUUCCGGUUCAACUCUAUGGCCUACCAACUGUUUGGUACUGGUUCUUGGUUUGGGACCUAACCAAGCCGAACUGGAAUGAACUUUAAAUCAGUAGACAGGCCCUUUCAGCCCCCAAGCAUCCCACAUAUUUUUUAAUUCUGAAUUCAUUCCUCAAUGGCUAUAACUAUAGUUUCAAACAUGCGAACCAAUUGGCUAAUUUUGAGAAAUGUAGGUCCGAGAACCCGCCCAACCUUCACAAAACACUCACUCUUUCACUCUCAUAGACCUCAUUCUUUAGCAUAUUGUCCAUCAAAUGACCUGGAACUUGGUCUUAAAAGUAUGCAAUCACAAGAACCCUGUAGUAGUACAAGCCAAGAACUGUUUUCAUCAGCUUCUUUAUCAGAUUCUCUUUUGGUGGAAAAUAUUUUAUUAGGUCUGAAGCAAGGUAACCUCACCUCUUUGCGCAGCUUUCUGUGUCGGUUAAACCCGUCUCUUAUUGUUGUUGUUCUUUCUUGCUGCCGCGAAAAUUUGCAACUGGGCCUGAAGUUUAUUGAUUUGAUUCUGUUAAAUAGUCCUGAUUUUAAGCAUUCGUCACUGUCUUUGAGUGCAAUGAUUCACAUGUUGGUGCGUGGUCGAACAGUGUCGGAUGCACAAGCUCUGAUUCUUAGAAUGGUUAGAAAGAGUGGCAUUUCUCGUGUUGAAGUAGCAGACUCUUUGGUUUCAACUUAUAGCAGUUGCGGCUCAAGUUCUUUGGUAUUUGAUCUGUUUGUUAGAACUUAUUUGCAGGCUAAGAAGUUGAGAGAAGGAUUUGAGGCAUUUCAGGUGUUUAGAAGCGAGGGAGUUUGUGUUUUGAUAAAUGCUUGCAAUAGUCUUCUUGGUGGGCUUGUGAAGGUCGGGUGGAUUGAUUUGGCAUGGGUCAUAUAUGGGGAAGUUGUUAGCAGUGGGAUUUAGUUAAAUGUUUAUACACUAAAUAUAAUGGUCAAUGCCUUAUGCAAAGCUCGCAAAAUUGAUAGCGUUAAAUUCUUCUCAUCAGAUAUGGAAGAGAAGGGGGUGUUUUCAGAUAUUGUGACAUAUAAUACUCUAAUCAAUGCAUAUUGUCGUAAAGGGCUUCUUGAAGAAGCUUUUCAGUUAAAAAACUCUUAUGUCUUCUAAGGGGUUGAAACCUGAGCUUUUCACGUACAAUGCUAUCAUAAAUGACUUAUGUAAAGUACGAAAUUAUGAUAGAGCAAAGGAACUUUUGUAUGAAAUGUUGCAAGGUGGUUGAAUCCUGAUACUACUACGUAUAAUCCAAUGCUUGUUGAGAGCUGUAGAAAAGAUGAUAUUUUAGAGGCUGAGGAAAUCUUCCAUGAAAUGUCACAUAGGUGUUGUUCCUGAUAUAGUUAGUUUCAGUUCACUCAUUGGGUUUUUUUCGAGGAAUAAAAAUAUUGAUCGUGCAUUAGUAUAUUUUCGAGAUAUGAAAAGGGCAGGCUUGGUUCCAGAUAAUGUGAUCUACACUAUCCUUAUAGAUGGAUAUUGUAGAAAGGGAAUGAUGUUAGAGGUUUUGAAGUUGCAUGAUGAAAUGCUUGAGCAAGGUUGUGCUAUUGAUGUGGUAACGUUCAAUAAAAUUUUAAAUGGACUGUGUUGGGAGAGGAUGCUUUCUGAUACAGAUGAGUUUUUUCAAUGAAAUGGUGGAAAGGGGUGUCAUUCCUGGUUUUUAUACUUUCACAACACUCAUUUAUGGUUAUUGCAAGCAUGGGAAUUUGACUAAAUCUCUUAAUCUGUUUGAUGCAAUGACAAAAAGAAAUAUUAAGCCUGAUAUAGUCACAUACAACACAUUGUUUGAUGGCUUCUGCAAACUAGGUGGAAUGGAUAAAGCUAAGGAGUUAUGGGGUGACAUGGUUUCAAGAAGGAUACUACCCAAUCACAUUUCAUAUGGCAUUCUAAUCAAUGGAUUUUGUAGCAUGGGGAACGUGCAUGAGGCGUUGAGUUUAUGGGACCAGAUGAUUGAAGAAGGUAUCAAACCCACUCUAGUUACUUGUAACACUGUCAUUAAAGGUUAUUGCCGCUCUGGUGACACAACAAAGGCGGAUGAGUUUUUAUAGUCAAAAUGAUUUCAAGAGGAAUUGUCCCUGACAGUAUUGCUUACAACACUUUGAUUAAUGGUUAUUUAAAAGAAGAGAAUCUGGACAAAGCUUUUUCCUCAGUUAAGGAAAUGGAAAAGCAAGGGAUAUUGUCGGAUCAGUUUACAUACAAUAUAAUUCUAAAUGGGUUCUGUUGGCAAGGUAGAAUGCGCAAAGCUGAGCUAGUAUUGCGGAAGAUGAUUGAGAAAGGUGUAAAACCUGAUAGAUCCACUUAUAUGUCAAUGAUAAAUGGACAUGUGACCAAGGACAAUUUGAAGGAGGCAUUUUGGUUCCAUGAUGAAAUGCUUCAAAGGGGAUUUGUGCCAGAUGAUGAAUUCUAGUUUGCUCUUAGCAGCUGAAGGGAUAGGGAAGUGUCCUGAUGCAGAUGAUCUUGCUCUUGAGUGGACAGAUGAGGUACAUAUCUUUACGGUUUAAUUUAUCCACAGCUACUCAACUUUCUGGUGUCUACAUGUAUGCAAACUUUUAGUUCUGAAUAGCAGUCAAGAGUCCUAGUUCAAAGUGCGAACUAUCCACCAAUUCCAGUUGAACAGCCAGAAGACGCGAAACCAUUUGCUCCUAUGUUGGUUACUGUAAGUUUUUGCUCUGAACUUUAUCAUAUGACUGGAUGUGCAUCUAGAUGUAGCAUCACUUGAUCUUGUUCUUUACUUUUCAAUUUUCCAAAGGCAAUGAACAAUUGUAAAAAUGCUGCUUUGUGAAACUUUUGCUUUUGUUAAAACUUAAAACACGUGCUAAUUCCUUCGUAAAGAGUAACUCUAAUUUUUAUCGUCACAGUGCUCUAAAUCUUUGUUCAAAUUAACUUGGGGUGUCUUUAGGCUAGUUGAUUGCGAUGAAUUCUAUGAUCCUCCAAGCAAAGUUUUGUAUUUUGUAGGGAACAAUUGAUUAUAAUGGUCUGGGCCAGUUAGGUGGCGGGACAAUGCAGAAGAUAAGGAUGAAGAAUCCGAAGAUCCUUAAGAUUACAGAGGUUUAGCAAAUGGGAGCUCUAAUCGUUGCCUGUUUUUCGUGAUAGUGUUUGAAAGCAUGUAGGCAGUUUGAGCUUGUGAAAUUUUCUCGGUUAUAUACAAACUACUGUAGAUUAAAUUAGCUUAAAUGGAAGGAGGCCAAUUGAGCGGUUUUGGGGGUAAUACGAUUUGUAGGAAUUCUUAGUGAAUCAGCUUAAAUGUUCGUUGUUAAUUUUAGCCAAAUUUCUUAAUUCCGUCAAUCGUACUAAAAGAUGCAAGGGUAUAUAAUUUUUCACUGUGCCCUGCAUUUCUAGUUUA